CAUGCACCCCUUAAGGGAUAGGAAAUGUUCUUAAUAUCACGUUUCAGAUGUGACGUCGUUAGAAACGGUAGGAACAUGAGCCGAAGAUUCUUCCCUUUCCUUUGCACCAAGGGAGUCAGAGAAAAAAGGUUGCCAGGGAAUCUUGAGUGACUGCAGGCUUGGUGGGUCCUCGGUUUUACAUCUCACCUGAGCGAUCGCACAUCCAGCAUCACAACAGCUCCGCACACUGUGGCGAGGUGUUUGAGUCAGAACCGAUUCAGCAAGAUGGAUGCCACCCAGCGAUCCACCAGCAUACACCUUUGCAUCGUCCACUCUUCACUUGAGGAUGUGUCUACGCUACAACGGGACAGCAGUAAAGAUCAUGAGAGAGGCUUAUGUUGCGUAGCCUGUUGACCUCUUGUUCAUUUCAAAGAAGAGUGUCUUGAGGGGACCUGAAGGAUGAGAAUCAAACACAAGGCCCCGUCCCACAGUGCUAUGAGAGCAGAAGAUGGUUUGUUUUGCCAUGGCAGGAUGCCCUUCCAAGAGAGAAAGCCAGAGGAUGAAUUUGGACCACUGUGUGCAGUUGAUGUCAUUUCCAGAGGACUGACCACUUACCUAUCCAGCAAGCAGGAGGCAAAGAUAGUUGGGUAAGAACUGGGCAGGAAAACUAAGACCUUCCUUCCAAAAGCUCAUUGAACUAGUGGUUCUGGUCCA